rnacentral:lncRNA from 1 species
AUAUACAGUUUUCCAAGUAGAUUCAUCGACAUUCUUCCUAGUUCUGAGGUGGUUGAGUUGACUUUCAGACCCGUUGACUUACCGGCUACUUUGCUCGCUCCUUUUUCUUUCCUUCUUUCUUUGCAGCCUGAGCGAGUUGCAAGUGAACUAUAACAAUGAGAGAUCCAGGUAAGUUGAGGGCAGAUCAUGGUGAUUGAGCUUGAACUGAGUUGAAUAAUACCUGAGGAGCCGCCAUUUUCUUGUCCAUCCAGAGAUUUCACCAACCCAUCUUUGCCUUCCGAGCAGAAGGGC